rnacentral:rRNA from 1 species
AUGUUAGACAACCUCAAAGUUAUAUUCCGGAAUGUGCGCGGUCUUAACAGCCGGGCUAAGCGCACCGCUGUCCGCACGGUGAUCCACUCCGCCUCACCUUGUAUUGUUUGCAUUCAAGAAACUAAACUUUCCAUGGUCUCGCCGGCGCUUGUUUUUUAGACUCUUGGCGCUCUUUUUGAUGGUUUCUAUUGGUUACCUGCGGACGGCACCCAUGGUGGGAUCAUCCUCGCAUGGCAAUCUAGCAUCGUCUCUCUAUCCAACCCGACCGUUGGCAAUCACCACGUCUUGGUGGUUGUGAACCCCCCUCAGUGGCUCCCAUUGGUGGAUCAUGGGCGUCCACAGACCUCAAGGAGACGAUGCAAAAAUUGA